GUUUUGGUAGCUUAACUCAAAGCGUCGGCCUUGUAAGUCGAAGACCAGGGGUUUAAACCCCCUCCAAAACA
rnacentral:tRNA from 1 species